UACGAAGGGUGCAAGCGUUACUCGGAAUUACUGGGCGUAAAGCGUGCGUAGGUGGUUCGUUAAGUCUGAUGUGAAAGCCCUGGGCUCAACCUGGGAAUGGCAUUGGAAACUGGCGACCUAGAGUGCGGUAGAGGGUAGUGGAAUUCCUGGUGUAGCAGUGAAAUGCGUAGAGAUCGGGAGGAACAUCCGUGGCGAAGGCGACUACCUGGACCAGCACUGACACUGAGGCACGAAAGCGUGGGGAGCAAACAGG
rnacentral:rRNA from 1 species